rnacentral:rRNA from 1 species
CCUACGGGAGGCAGCAGUAGGGAAUUUUCGGCAAUGGGGGGAACCCUGACCGAGCAACGCCGCGUGAACGAGGAAGUUAUUCGUAAUGUAAAGUUCUUUUAAAAGGAAAGAAAGAGAAAUUGGACGGUACCGGAAGAUUAAGCCCCGGCUAAUUCCGGGCCAGCAGCCGCGGUAUUACGUAGGGAGCGAGGGUUAUCCGGAAUUAUUGGGCGUAAAGGGUGCGUAGAUGGCAUAGUAAGUCUUUUGUAAAAAUGCUGGGCUCAACCCAGUAGGGCAAAAGAUACUGCAAAGCUAGAGUAUGACAGAGGCAAGUGGAACUACAUGUGUAGCGGUAAAAUGCGUAAAUAUAUGUAAGAACACCAGUGGCGAAGGCGGCUUGCUGGGUCGAUACUGACAUUGAGGCACGAAAGCGUGGGAGCAAACAGGAUUAGAUACCCUUGUAGUC